CGUACUCGCACCCCACUCCACCCCACGCCACGCACAAUCCCCUCACCGCCGCCCCUCUCCGGAUCGCCGCCACCGCCACCGCCGCUCGCCGCCGCCGUCUGGAUCACCGCCGCCGCCGCCGUCUCUCCGGAUCGCUGCUCCCACCGCCGCCGUCGCCGUCGUCUCUCCGGAUCAUCGGCCCCGCCGCCGCCGCCGUCUGGAUCGCUGCUGCCGUAUCUCCGGAUCGCAGCCACUGCCACCGUCUGGAUCACCGCCGCCGUCACACAGAAGACAGUGCAGGAGCUGCUGCCGCCGCCCGCCCCCAUCUCCUCCCCUGAUCCAACUAAACAUCCCGUAAACUAAAAAAGAGGGUGAUUGGUUAGGAUGCUGCAACAGCUAAUAAGAUGGGAAGACAACUCACUUUGCCCCUCCUCCAAGCACAUCAGCGACUCUUCGAUCUGCUUCUCUCCCUCGCAAGAUAUGGGAUUCUUAUAUACCAUUGCUGCAUCAUGUUGCACACAUGCAAUUCUAUUGUUUUGUGUAAGAGCCAUUGACUUUUGUGGAGAAGUUCGCAUCACGAUGGAAUUCUGCUGUCAAGGUCGCCAUGUCGGCGAGCUCAUUGGCGUCGUACUGCCCCAACAGGAGCGCCAUCGGGUCGGCGGCGCUGCUGGCGGCUGCAACCAUGGAUGAUGGAAAUUGUGAGUCCUGCAAAAUCUGUACGUGGGUUAGGAUAACAGGUUGAGCCAUCUGUUCCUCUAUAGUCAAACGCUUGAUUGGGAUGUUCUAUCCAUGAUGGGAUCAGAUUCAUGAAACUCGACCUGUUGAAGAAGUUUCAGUCCAGCUUCACUCACCGCCUUUCAUUGUCAUCGAGACAACCGACAUUGCUCAGAACGCCGCAUCCCCGGCCUACUCUCUCUUCACCCGUCAAUGCUCAUGUGCUCCGACCCUCCCCGACCCGUCCCAGCAAGCAGCAGAGUCUCUUGUUCGAGCUCCACCGGGCCGGCGGUGGCGACGUCCAUGUUCGUUGGGCGGAGCACAACGCUAGGGUUGAAAUCCACCAUGCUGCUACUGAUGAGGCUCUCCUCCUUUGUCCACCGGUUAUCAGACAACUGCGUAUGAGACGUCCACCGUCGUACACUCAUUUGAUCGUGCUGAUGCGCCUGGCUGUGGGAUGGCUUCUGCUGGGAUGCUCCGAGAUUUCACAAAUCCAUUAUGACGAAAUAGGGUGGCCGCCCGCUUUAUUUCAUGAAUCCAUUAUCGCCUACAGAAUAACGUCCUGGCCCUCCCAGUUUGAGUGAUUCUCUAUAUUUUGCUAUAUCUCAACUAUACAUGCAUUGUUUAUGUUCGCCGGCCCGCGCCCCCGUGUCUCCUCACGUUAAUGUGGCUGCUGGCCGCGGGACUGACGAGGAAGUCAUGGUGGAGCGGUGGUGCUGGCUGUGGCCUACCAGGAUACCAUAAGUUCUCCCUUGUUCUUUUGUGUUUGAAUCAGAUUUAGUGGUUCUUGAUUUUACAGGCAUGCAUCGAUCUUGCUCAUGUUUUGUAUGUAGGAUACACUUAAUGUUUUAUGGGAUGUUCUGCAGAUUUUUAGAACACUAAGGGCAUAUCUUGGCUUGAAUGCUGCUGGGUCGAUGAAGGUCAUGCAACAUGGCAGGUGAGUGCUCCUCUCCCCUUUCCCUCUAUGCUAAAAAUUAGUUCCAAUUUCCAUGCAAGUUCGCCAAUUUAGAUCUAGAGGUAAAGGUUCUGUACGAGGUUAGUUAGGAGGGUCUUGCUGGUGACUACUUGAACUCAAGUUGGACAACAUAUGCAAUGUCCAAUUCAGCGAGAUAUCAUGACUCGAUUUCACUUUCAUUCCACAGCUGAGAUCAUAAUUUGAUUGAUAUUUUGCAUCUUUUAUAGAUAUAGAUUGAUAACAUUUAAUGAUGUUAUAGGAUAUAUAUAAUAAUUAGAAAAAGAGACACCACAUGUCUUAUGGAUCAAAACUGAUACUUGCUCAUGCUGGCAUCUCAAGGAAUUUUAAAUUCCAAAUACAGGUGUGCAUGUGUCCACUUGGAAGCUACUUGUUCGUGAGUUGUUCGAGACGAAAACCCAGUCUAUAUGAUGGACUGCUCUCCUAUUUUUUUUAUGUGUGUGCCUGCUCCGUGCUCUUUUGUUCCCAGCAGGCUAUUGUGUUGAUCCGUGGGGAUUUCUUUUUACCCUGCCAUUGGUUUUCUCUGUAAAACGCAGGUGUUCCCAAUACUUUUCUUUUAUAAAACAGCUGGGCUGUCAUAGCCUUUUCUCUGAAAGCGUUGAUUGUUAAACUACUAAAAUGUCUUCUGUAGGUUUUGCUUACUCGUGGCUGUAUGUUGGCUUCGUGCUGGUGGGCUAUAGUUCUCCUGUCACAAAUCAUGGAGACAUUCAUCCUCGCAGAUUUCUGCUCCUGCUAUGUGAAAAGGGCAAUCCACAACAUGAAUAUACAUGUAGCAAUGGUGUGCCCUUGGAACGUCCUGCAGUAAGCCCUCUAAAAGAAUCCUUAUGAAGUGUUCCUAGAGUUUGGUGGAUAUGACCGGAGUGAUAUUUUCAUAAGGAAGUCCAAGGCACAAGUAUGUAUCACCCUAAGACGAAUUUCUAAUCAUCUUAGUACAGAUUCUGAGCAAGAAACAUCUUAAAGUAAAUCAUGUGCUGCUAUGUACGUCAUGAUGCUUCCUCCUGUUCAUCCAGGGGCUAUAAAUGUUAAGGAUUGCCUGACUGCGACAACUAUUGGGUUCCGUCUCACCAUGCAGUGUCGCAAUAAGGCCAUUGAUCCAGUGUAGUUGUUGGGCAUGCACAUUGUGGAAUGGUUGUAGCAACUUGCUGGACUGCGGAUCAGGCCAUUCCCUUCCUCAGCAGAGCAGUCGGGCAAUUUUUGGACUACAGAAUUAGUCCCGAGAGAUGAAGUAAGAGCCGUAGUUGAUCAUGUUGUCCAAACAAGGCUUGAUCCAACAAACAGAAUGACUUGAUUAAUUGGGCUUAUAAGUUGGUUGCAUCAACUGAUAGAUGCACUAAUGUAUGUAAGUGAAAUUAUCUCCUUGAGUCAUGAUUGGCAUAUUUCCUUGCUUGAUGAAGGUUCCAUCUCUACAUAAUAGUUUUCUAUGCAUAUGAAACUGCUCUAUAUAGACAAAAGGUGGACGACUAAAAAUCCAGUGGCCGUUACUCCGUUGUGGACAUGGGAGUCGUCUGAAUUUUGUCGUCCAUAUAGCAAGGUUCUUAUGCAUAUCCUGUCAAGUAAAUUUUUUCAUGAAAAUAUGAGGUGGGCCGUGGGCAUCAAUCUUUCGCAGGUUCAGGGUUGAAAAUGUCGACAACUUUGUAUGGUUGAAGGAUAUUCCAAGAUUUCCCACUCUCGCAAGAAAACAACUUGGCUCACUUAUGAUAAGAUGUUCUGGUGUUAAGUUUCUCCUCUUUUAUGGACCAAGAAGAUGAAUUAUUUUGACAACAUCAACUGCAUUUGUACUGACAGAGCAUUUGUUAGCUGACAGAGCAUUUGUUGUGAUGGUGUUGGAAGCGUCGUGUAUGGCAAAGGUAGAUCCCGUUGUAGUGCAGAGCAGAGUUAGCACCAUUCAAGUCCAUUAUUGAAUGUGUGGAUAUUACCAAAUGAUGUAUGUCUCAUUUUCAUAUUAAAGUGUGGCUUCUAUUGCAAAAAAAGCUUGCGGCAAAGCCGAGGAGAUGGAUUGCAAGGGGGAGAGAAGAUGUUUUCAUAGAUUAAUUUUUGUAAGAAAAGUAGUGUGUAUAUACUCUCUCUGUGAUUUAACUUUGACCACCAAACUUAAUUAAUGAUAUAUGUGUUAUGUGUCAUAAAAUUAUACCAUUGGAGUUUUUUGUAAUACGAAUUU